AUCCAGACUCCUACGGGAGGCAGCAGUGGGGAAUAUUGCGCAAUGGGGGAAACCCUGACGCAGCAACGCCGCGUGAGUGAGGAAGUAUCUCGGUAUGUAAAGCUCUAUCAGCGGGGAAGAAGGAAGACGGUACCCGACUAAGAAGCCCCGGCUAACUACGUGCCAGCAGCCGCGGUAAUACGUAGGGGGCGAGCGUUAUCCGGAUUUACUGGGUGUAAAGGGAGCGUAGACGGCGUCGCAAGUCUGAAGUGAAAGCCCGUGGCUCAACCGCGGGACUGCUCUGGAAACUGCGUCGCUGGAGUACGGGAGGGGCAGGCGGAAUUCCUGGUGUAGCGGUGAAAUGCGUAGAUAUCAGGAGGAACACCGGCGGCGAAGGCGGCCUGCUGGACUGAAACUGACGUUGAGGCUCGAAAGCGUGGGGAGCAAACAGGAUUAGAUACCCUAGUA
rnacentral:rRNA from 1 species